GAUGAACGCUGGCGGCGUGCUUAACACAUGCAAGUCGAACGGAAAGGCCCAAGCUUGCUUGGGUACUCGAGUGGCGAACGGGUGAGUAACACGUGGGUGAUCUGCCCUGCACUUCGGGAUAAGCCUGGGAAACUGGGUCUAAUACCGGAUAGGACCACUUCUUGGAUGGUGUGGUGGAAAGUUUUUUCGGUGGGGGAUGAGCUCGCGGCCUAUCAGCUUGUUGGUGGGGUAAUGGCCUACCAAGGCGUCGACGGGUAGCCGGCCUGAGAGGGUGUACGGCCACAUUGGGACUGAGAGACGGCCCAGACUCCUACGGGAGGCAGCAGUGGGGAAUAUUGCACAAUGGGCGCAAGCCUGAUGCAGCGACGCCGCGUGGGGGAUGACGGCCUUCGGGUUGUAAACUCCUUUCGCUAGGGACGAAGCGUUUUGUGACGGUACCUGGAGAAGAAGCACCGGCUAACUACGUGCCAGCCGCCGCCGUAA
rnacentral:rRNA from 1 species